GACCUUGUGGAUCGGGGCAGAUCAUCUUGCGAAUGUAGAGCGAUGGCCAGGGCGUACUGUAUAACGAGAAGUUGCAGGUUCAACUCCUGCCGAGGUCA